GAGCAUUACUUCCUGUUACGCCUUCACGUCUAACAUCCGCAGUACAGUUUAAAUACAGCGUUUUGCAUCACCGCUACCAUAAAUUAAUUGAUCCUUUAUCUGGUUUUAAUUAAACUAAAGCACUCAUCGAUACUAUGAUGUUUUUAAAUCUAAUACUACUUUUAUUUUUAUAUUGGAGAACAAAUAUCUAUAAAUGUGAUGAUGUUCAUCAGAAUCCCACGUUCAUCAUAAAACGUCCAGGAGACCCUGCAGAAAUACAAUGCGAACACACUCGUACAAGCUCAGACUACAUGUACUGGUAUCGACAACGGUCGGAACGGAGAAUGGAAUUAAUCGUGUUUGCAGUAACUGGUGGCCAACCACAGUCUGAAAAAGAAGCCGAGAAGAAACGAUACACGAUUGUAAAAAGUGAAACUCUUCGGGGGUCUUUCGAAAUUAAAUCACUGCAGCUUGAUGAUACGGCGGUGUACUUUUGCGCAGUUAGUAAACACAGUGAAAAAAUAUUAUCGCAGCGCCUGUCAAGAAUUCUUUAGAUUAUACGCUCCAAAGAACUGCAAUUUCAGCAACUGACAAACAUCUAUACAUACUUAUCAAAAAUGGACUGACAUCAUUUACUGGCCCACCACAAGCAGCCAGACACCCACUAACGCAUAUCAGAACUUAAGAAUGUAAUAUAUU